rnacentral:rRNA from 1 species
GAUGAACGCUGACUGAAUGCUUAACACAUGCAAGUCAACUUGAAUUUGGGUUUUUAACUUAGGUUUGGGUGGCGGACGGGUGAGUAACGCGUAAAGAACUUGCCUCACAGCUAGGGACAACAUUUGGAAACGAAUGCUAAUACCUAAUAUUAUGAUAAUAGGGCAUCCUAUAAUUAUGAAAGCUAUAAGCGCUGUGAGAGAGCUUUGCGUCCCAUUAGCUAGUUGGAGAGGUAACGGCUCACCAAGGCGAUGAUGGGUAGCCGGCCUGAGAGGGUGAUCGGCCACAAGGGGACUGAGACACGGCCCUUACUCCUACGGGAGGCAGCAGUGGGGAAUAUUGGACAAUGGACCGAGAGUCUGAUCCAGCAAUUCUGUGUGCACGAUGAAGUUUUUCGGAAUGUAAAGUGCUUUCAGUUGGGAAGAAACAAAUGACGGUACCAACAGAAGAAGUGACGGCUAAAUACGUG